GGUCAAGUUAUUAAGGGUGCAGGGCGGAUGCCUUGGCACUAGGAGCCGAUGAAGGACGUGAUAAGCUGCGAUAAGCUUCGGGGAGUUGCACGUAAACUUUGAUCCGAAGAUUUCCGAAUGAGGAAACUCACUUAGAGUAAUGUCUAAGUAUCAUUAAGUGAAUACAUAGCUUAAUGAGGGGAACUCAGGGAACUGAAACAUCUAAGUACCUGAAGGAAGAGAAAGAAAUUCGAUUCCGUAAGUAGCGGCGAGCGAACGCGGAUUAGCCCAAACCAAUAAAGUUUUCUUUAUUGGGGUUGAGGACAUACCACAUAUAAGAGGUCAUUAUAGACGAAGAAGUUUGGAAAAACUCAUCAUAGAAGGUAAUAAUCCUGUAGUCAAAAUAAUAAUUCUUUAGGUAUGAUCCAGAGUACCACGGGACACGUGAAACCCUGUGGGAAGCAGGAGGGACCACCCUCCAAGGCUAAAUACUACCUAGUGACCGAUAGCGUAUAGUACCGUGAGGGAAAGGUGAAAAGAACCCCGGGAGGGGAGUGAAAUAGAACCUGAAACCCUGCACUUACAAGCUGUGGAAGCACAUUUCUUGUGUGACCGCGUACUUUUUGUAGAACGGGCCAACGAGUUACGUUAAGUAGCAAGGUUAAGCACUUAAGGUGCGGAGCCGUAGCGAAAGCGAGUUUUAACUGAGCGUUCAGUUACUUGACGUAGACCCGAAACCGGGCGACCUACCCAUGAGCAGGAUGAAGCGAAAGUAAAAUUUCGUGGAGGUCCGAACCCACGAGCGUUGAAAAGCUCGGGGAUGACUUGUGGGUAGCGGUGAAAUUCCAAUCGAGCCCGGAGAUAGCUGGUUCUCCCCGAAAUAGCUUUAGGGCUAGCCUCAAGGUGAGAGAUACGGAGGUAGAGCACUGAAUGUCCUAGGGGGUAUUGCACCUACCGAAGACUAUCAAACUCCGAAUGCCGUCAUCUUAUACUUGGGAGUCAGACUGUGGGUGAUAAGAUUCAUAGUCGAAAGGGCAACAGCCCAGAUCGUCAGCUAAGGUCCCUAAAUGUAAGUUAAGUGGUAAAGGAUGUGGGAUUGCACAGACAACCAGGAUGUUGGCUUAGAAGCAGCCACUCAUUCAAAGAGUGCGUAAUAGCUCACUGGUCGAGUGAUCCUGCGCCGAAGAUUUCCGGGGCUAAAACUUACUACCGAAGCUACGGCAUCAGUAAUGAUGGGUAGGGGAGCUUCCCAUACGGGUUGAAGCAUGACCGUAAGGACAUGUGGACAGUAUGGGAGUGAGAAUGUUGGCAUGAGUAGCGAGAUGUGGGUGAGAAUCCCACAGGCCGUAAACCCAAGGUUUCCAGGGGAAGGUUCGUCCGCCCUGGGUUAGUCGGGACCUAAGCUGAGGCCGAAAGGCGUAGGUGAUGGACAACAGGUUGAU
rnacentral:rRNA from 1 species